rnacentral:tRNA from 2 species
UGCGGGAUGGAGCAGUCUGGUAGCUCGUCGGGCUCAUAACCCGGAGGUCGUUGGUUCAAAUCCGACUCCCGCACCCA